UCCAGCGCUUCCGGACUGUGCGCUCCACCACAGGAGGUCGCGCCUCUCGCGCCCCAAGCCAAAGUUUUGGAAGCUUCGGGUUUAUUCGAUUCAUGUACCAAUCGGCUAGUCAGCCUCUCUGCCAGUCCAGCCCCAACUGAGCAGCUGUGUCAUCUGGGGUGGACAAGGGGAGGAGGAUAAGAAGCAGGCUAUUGUGGGCCUCUUCAGCAGCCUUUUACAAUGAAUGUAUAUUUAUCAAUUUAAACCUUUCAGUUAAUGUUAACUUUACCCACCUCACCAUCUCUUCACUCAGUGACUAACCAGCAGCCAUCUAUUUCUAUAGAUCUUACAUUCCAAACAUAUCACUGGCUCAAACUGCUUUUUCUAUUGUGAUUCAUUUUGGCAUCAGUUUUUAUACAGGAAUUCACACAGUGACCAGAAACAUCAACACAGCAAGAAACACGUACUUCAACAUUUUGUAAUUACAGUGACUAGUAAGUACAGGGGAUUUGAUGCAGUGUCACUUGAUGCCAUCUAGGCAUCUCGCUUGCUUAAGGAAAUGGAUACCGUUUUAUGUAAAUUAUUGCUACUGAUUCAGUACAUGUUGUCUAUGCUUAAUUGCCUGUAAGAAAAAUGUGCAUAUGUAAAUGGUAAUGUGCAAUGAACUGGCUUUCAAUCCUAGGUGAAUGCUCCAAAAUUGUGUCCAGGGCUUUAAAUCCACCACAACCCUGAGUAUGAAAAAAGCAUUUACUGCUGAUGAAUGAACGUAUAAUAUGUCAAAUUCAAAAACAGCAAUUUAUGUACAUUGAGAUUUUGUACACUGAUCAGAGGCUCUCAGCAUUCUACCGUUAUUAUGUAAUAUAUGAUAAUUAUUAUACACUUUUGUAUUAUUUGUGUCUAUAUAAAUAGUUUGAAUACA